AUACGUAGGGGGCGAGCGUUGUCCGGAAUGAUUGGGCGUAAAGGGCGCGUAGGCGGCGCGGUAAGUCUGGCGUGAACGUCCUGCUUUCAAGGUGGGAAUUGCUUUGGAUACUGCCGCGCUUGAGUGCAGGAGAGGUUAUCGGAAUUCCCGGUGUAGCGGUGAAAUGCGUAGAGAUCGGGAGGAACACCAGUGGCGAAGGCGGGUAACUGGACUGCAACUGACGCUGAGGCGCGAAAGUGUGGGGAGAAAACAGGAUUAGAUACCCUGGUAGUCCACACUGUAAACGAUGAAUGCUAGGUGUAAGAGGUAUCGACCCCUUGUGUGCCGGAGUCAACACAAUAAGCAUUCCGCCUGGGGAGUACGGCCGCAAGGUUGAAACUCAAAUGAAUUGACGGGG
rnacentral:rRNA from 1 species